ACAGCAGUCGCCACGGUAAUACGUAGGUGGCAAGCGUUGUCCGGAAUUAUUGGGCGUAAAGGGCUCGCAGGCGGUUUCUUAAGUCUGAUGUGAGAGCCCCCGGCUCAACCGGGGAGGGUCAUUGGAAACUGGGAAACUUGAGUGCAGAAGAGGAGAGUGGAAUUCCACGUGUAGCGGUGAAAUGCGUAGAGAUGUGGAGGAACACCAGUGGCGAAGGCGACUCUCUGGUCUGUAACUGACGCUGAGGAGCGAAAGCGUGGGGAGCGAACCGGAUUAGAUACCCCUGUAGUCCCUGUCUCUUAUAC
rnacentral:rRNA from 1 species